AGCCAUGGAACACUGGUUCUCAUACAAUCACUGAAGUUAAGCAAUGUCAAGCCUAGUCAGUACCUAGAUGGGUAACUGCUUGGGAAUACCAGGUGCUGUAAG